rnacentral:piRNA from 1 species
AACCAAGGAGAGAGGAAACUGUA